AGCGAACGUUAGCGGCGCGCCUAACACAUGCGAGUCGCACGAGAAAGGGGGCAACCCCCGGUACAGUGGCGCACGGGUGAGUAACACGUGGGUGAUCUGCCCAGAAGAAGGGGAUAACCUCUCGAAAGGGGGGCUAAUACCGCAUAGGACCACCGGGGCUUUGGCUCUGUGGUGAAAGGGGGCCUCUGUUUACAAGCUCCUGCUUCUGGAUGAGCCCGCGUCCCAUCAGCUAAUUGGUAGGGUAAUGGCCUACCAAGGCUACGACGGGUAGCUGGUCUAAGAGGAUGGCCAGCCACACUGGAGCUGGGACACGGGCCAGACUCCUACGGGAGGCAGCAGUGGGGAAUCUUGCGCAAUGAGCGAAAGCCUGACGCAGCGACGCCGCGUGGGUGACGAAGGCCUUCGGGUUGUAAAGCCCUGUGGGGUAGAACGAACUGGCGUCGGGCUAAUAUCCCGGUGUCUUGACGGUACUGCCUUAGCAAGCAUCGGCUAACUCUGUGCCAGCAGCCGCCGUAAUAC
rnacentral:rRNA from 1 species